AACGAACCAAAAUAUUCCAAAACGACCAAAAACGCCUUUGAUAGUUUUUAAACACUGUCUUGGAUUGUCUUGGUUGACUAAACUCAUCUCCAGGGCUCCCCGACAAAAUAAAAUAACUGGAAAACAAAAUAACUGGAUUCUGAUUGGACGAGAGCAGUACUCCCUAAGAGAACCUAUUGCUAUUUACUUUUCUUUCCGAAGUUGACCCGAAGUCUUCUGACGAAUUUUGAAGUUGAUCCGAACGCUAACGAAAAUUUCCGAUGUCAAUUCAAAGACUUUUGGAGUUGAACCGAAGUUUUCCGAAGAUUUUCCAAUGUCAGCCCGAACACUUAGGAAGGUUUCGGAUGUUUACCUGGAGUAUUCUGAAGACGAACCAAGGAGGAAUUUUGUUGAGGUCGAGCGAAUUCCUAUACUUAUUUUUUUUCGUGAGCCUCGAAGCAGGAGGGGGGGUGGUGGUCAGCAUGAGGAGGGGUGUAUCUCCAAUUAUUCACGCUAUGAAAAUGUAGUGUAGUGUAUUUUAGUUGAGAAAAUGCCUUGUCUUAAAAUGAGUCUGCAAAGACAUACCAGCGAUUUGUUUUUUCACGUGAUCUGCUGUUUCCUCCUCCUCCUUGUCCCCCGAGGAGACUUCAGACUUUACGACUUCCUGAGGCAAAGGGAAGAGCCACGUGACUCCACGUGACGAAAUGUUGCGUUACAAUUACAAUUUGGGAGAAAAUACAGAUCCAAUCAUUACCACGCAUGCAUGCGUAGUCGAUGAUGGCGGCCUCACAGGAAGACCAAGAACAUAUCUCAAAAGUCAUUAUUUCAUGUGAUUCAUCUGACACAGAAAAUGAUCUUCCACAGUAUCUAUCGUCAGCAAGGCCACCAAAGCUGGAGGAAAGAGAUGCUGUUCAUAAGGUAAAACUUCAUUUGUAGGGAAAUUCUCAAAUGUUGUUUGUGUGAUUGUAAGGGCAAGAAUAUGAAGGUGCUAUUGCUUCCAUUUUCACUGUGGGAGACGCAUGGAUUUUCACCGACUCAAAGCCAGCCAUGAAGUUACGUUUAUUUGAUAUAAGCAACUGGAAGCUAAACCUCAGAAAUCGUUUUAUCCAUUUUGUAUGGCUGGUCAUUUUAGCAAGGGACAAAUUUUAUACCGUUAAAUAUCUGGUUGUGCCACAGUUUAAUUUAAUAGGGCAAAGGUCGCACUUUUUCCAUGAUGUCGCAGCAUUCUGCCAUAGGGGGGUCGAGGGGGCGCACAUUUGCAAAAUAUCUUCGUUCUCGAUUCCGUGUCAUGUACAGUUUGUACCAAUGAUUACUUCAAACAGCAACUCCGAGCUCUAAAAGCAACAUUUCAUCAGCUUAAGAAACAAGCUGACUAAUUUGGACCUUAGAAGUCUGCACACCAGGCGUCUUUGCACCAUUGCGAAACUAAUGAUGGAUGAUAAAUGAUCCCGGUGUUUCAGGUUUGAUUUAAUUUUUUUCCAUUUAAAUUUUUUGACUGGAGUUUUUUUACCAAUUCCCAUUUAAGUCACUUGGCAUGGAAGAUAUGGCCUGCUUUGGGGCAGAACACCAGUACGGUUUCCUUGACCACAUGUCUACUCAUGACACAAAGGUCGCACAUGUCGCGCAGAAUUUGUGUGGUAAACAUAGGUGCUAAAUGGGACCUCUGCUCAAUGAGAGUUAUCUUUCUGAUCUGAGCGUAACGGAAAUUAUAGCCAAAAUUCUAAGUACUGCUGAGGGAAACAGUUUUUUUUCGUUAAAAAAUUGAGUCCACUUUACGAAACAGCAACCAGAGGGCGUUAUCGUGCUGUGAUCUGAAAUAAGAACAAACAGGGUUUAGAAAGCCCGUUUCCGGUAGUUAGGUAAUCUGGCGGAAAACGGACUUUUCUCGCUUGCAGCACACCAUUUUUUACCGACCAGUUUUCUGGUCGGCGAGGGACCGCAAUGGGUUGAGAUGUAAGAGAAGCUAUAAACGCGGGUCUAACAAAGCUUGGCUUCAAGUAAAUUCGACGAGCACAGUUUUCACAGACAAUUUAGUCGAUCAGCUUUCUUUGUCCAGCCUCGCACCAACGAAAAAU